GGUAAUGCUGGAAGGUGGUCUGAUAGGAGAAUUGAGAGCAUGCCCAGGAGUAGACAUAGAACUGCUGCCAGAAGCAGUAGUGGUAGCAGGGAUAGAAAUAACUUGAUGGAGAGGAGCUACAGAAAGAGGACCUGCUGGUAUAGACCAGGCAGAAGUGGGAGGAGAAGAAGAUGUGGUAGCAGCAGGAGAAGUUGAAGGAAAUAGAGAAGCAUAAGGGAAUCGUGUCUCAUGAAACAAAACAUCCUUAGAGAUGUAGAUACGACCAGUGGCUGCAAGACACUUAUAGCCCUUAUGGUUAGUGGAGUAGCCAAGA
rnacentral:lncRNA from 1 species